UCCCCUCUCUGGAAGCUCCCCCUUUCAGAGAGGAGGAGUCAUUUAACUAUAAAAAUAGCUGCUAAACACAUGAGGAGGUGGCAGUGAGUUGCUGAGACCAGUGGGAGAAAGACUUUAAUAAGAGAAUUCAGGAGACUGCAUCAUGGCUGGGAAGCCCAAGCUUCACUACUUCAAGGACGAGGCUGAAUGGAGUCCAUCCAGUGGCUCCUGGCUGCAGCUGGAGUUGAGUUUGAAGAGCA